AAAAUAAAAUUUUUAUUUUUUUAGUCUUUAGAAGUAUAUUUAAUAAUUAUUUUACCGAAAUGGGAAGAGCCAAAGUAGAGACCAAGAAAGUCUAUAAGGGAAGUAAGAAGCGUGGUAUAUACAAAGACAAGUUCCAAUCCUUGAAGUUCCGUGAGGGAAGGAAGGGGGUCAACGACUCCCCGGACUAUGCUGGAAGAGCUGGAAGGAAAAUGGCCACGCCUGGACUUGAGGAUCGGCCUGCCUCAAUAAUAUGUUAGCUCACGUCCAAAGCCCGAGCAGAAAGGACAAGUUUUAUCAAAAAGAAAAUGUUACAAAAAUAUAUUACAAAAGCCUUGUUACGAAGAGAUCUCAGGAUAUCAAACAUUUCUUUCGAAUUUUUGGACUCCAACAACUUACGUUAGGACCCUCUAUGAGUAAAUUGAAAUGGUAAAAAGACAGCCGAAAGUUUCGAAGAAAACCAUCACUUUCUCACAUUAACCAAGCCUUGGUAACGGGAGAAUAAAAAAUCAAUUUUGUGAGCAACUACUGGGUCUACUAAUAAAUAAAUAAAAAUAAUCUUGAUAUCAGCAAA